CGGGAGUUCCAUGCAACAAAUCUACCGAACAGCUCUCUCCUGGCUUGUCGAGGAAAGAAGCAGGCGUUCGCGUGGUUUCCCUGAUGUUCAUGUGGUUGAGUGUCCAACUUGGAGUUCCAGACACUCGACGACCAAGUCCUGCUUGCUGCCUGUGUUCGUGCGACAAGAUUGCCGCCACACAGAGAGAGCACUUAAUUCUGCGGUUUC